rnacentral:tRNA from 1 species
CAAAUUAGAGUGUUAAAAGCAUUUUAUUUACAUUAAAAAGUUAAUUGUGAAAUUCAAUUUAAUUUGA